rnacentral:misc_RNA from 1 species
CCAAAUGAGGAUAUUUUGCAGGUAUUGAUUUCAAUAAUCAUUACUAUAUAUAAAUAUUAUUCCACAUUGCCCAACCAUGCCAAAGAUCAUUUCAUUUUAUAUCAUGUAAGCACCAUGUCCUUACGCAUAAGUUGGUAAAAGAAAUCAUGCCUAAUACUUGGGCUAGUGCUGUACCAGGAUUUACAUAGCCCUUGUACUUGCUUUUCUUCAUUAUUUUUUUUUCCAGAUAUAAUAAAGGUUAUUUUCUUAUGCUGACAUGCUUUCAUUUACAAUGGUCAUGUGAAUUGCUGAAGUUCAUUGCAUUGCAG